UACGUAGGUGGCAAGCGUUGUCCGGAAUUAUUGGGCGUAAAGCGCGCGCAGGCGGUCCUUUAAGUCUGAUGUGAAAGCCCACGGCUCAACCGUGGAGGGUCAUUGGAAACUGGGGGACUUGAGUACAGAAGAGAAGAGUGGAAUUCCACGUGUAGCGGUGAAAUGCGCAGAUAUCAGGAGGAACACCGGUGGCGAAGGCGGGUCUCUGGGCCGUAACUGACGCUGAGGCGCGACAGCGUGGGGAGCAAACAGG
rnacentral:rRNA from 1 species